rnacentral:rRNA from 1 species
UAACCUGCCUGGUAGCGGGGGAUAACUAUUGGAGACGAUAGCUAAUACCGCAUAAGAGUAGAUGUUGCAUGACAUUUGCUUAAAAGGUGCAAUUGCAUCACUACCAGAUGGACCUGCGUUGUAUUAGCUAGUUGGUGGGGUAACGGCUCACCAAGGCGACGAUACAUAGCCGACCUGAGAGGGUGAUCGGCCACACUGGGACUGAGACACGGCCCAG